GCAGCAGGGUGAGGAAGCCUUGCUGUGAGAUGGCUGCUGCUGAUGACUGCCUGGCAGGGAACUUUGGGAAUGCAAAGAGGAAGUACAAUCAGACAGAUAUGAUUCAGGGCACAGAAGAAGUGUGGUCUGGCAGACUUCAGGGGAGGGGCCUUCAGUGUAAAUAAUGCAGCAAGAGAUGGUGGAGAGAGAGGAGCUCCAGGAAAGACCAUCAUCAUGACCCUGCCUGAGUCUCAAUGAUUUACCAUGUCUUGGAUAGUUUAUAAGGAACAGGCCCUGAAGGAUCUGUUACAGCUUGUGUGGAAU